CCAUCUAUUUAAUUGAUAUCUUCGGAAUAACGUAAAAAGUUUGACAAAUUAAUACAUUUAUCAUUCUAAACAAGUCAUGACGACCGAGUUAGCUAUAUCAUUUAUCUUAACGACUUAAGAGAUUAAGGACGGAAAAAAAUUUCAUGAUUUAUUUUGACGUUAUGAAAGGGUCGUUGUACUGUUCUCGAAGUAUGAUUUCACUAAAAUGUGCUGUGUUUUACGCUUUGAGUUAGGCACUUGGACGACCUUCAGGCUGGCAUCGUGGGCGUUUCGUUUAUGCAAGAACGACAUUUCCAAAUUCCAAUGUACGAUAAAUUUUACAUGUAGAUAAAUGUAGAUAUACGUAGUAUAUGAAUUAAAAUAAAAUAAAAAGCAACUUCCAACUUCUCGAAAAUGCACUAAAGAAAGCGUAACUACGAAUGAAUGAAAAUUCACGAUUUAUUGAGUGCUAGCAAAUGUAUCAUGAUGGCAAAAUUGUCCUUUUGAAUUCUCAUAAAUGCUACGGGUGAAAUGAAACAGUCGGAAAAGUAGCUGCUUUUAUUCUUAAAUCAUUGACUUAAUUUUGACUUUGGUUUAUGCCAAAAAUUUCGUGAAACAUCUUAUAGUUGUUUCAUCAGAGCGGCGGUGCAGAUAAAAUUAAGGGGAUGAUUUCAUCAUAUGCCUAUUGGGUACAAGUUUUUUUUCAAAUUGGAGGAUAUUUGAUUAAAACGCUCCACAUAUUACGCGUGCAUGUGCAACUUCAAUAUGGGGUAGGGGUUAAAACGAAAAUUAAAAUAAAAUUUACCUAAUAAAUAAUUUUACCUGAAAAUAUGAUAUAAGUUUAGGGUUAGAUUUUGAGUUUCAAUCAUUGCUCAAAGGCGCUCACACCCUAUCAAGCCUGCAACCUCCUAUUCCAUAGCGGUGCAUACCUGGAAAUUGCAACCCCUCGCAUUUUGCAAACACUUUAGACAUAAAAGUAAAAAAAAGCAAAAUAAAUCAACACAAAGCUUUUUGUACCAUUUGUGAAGCUGCCAAAUUGCACGCACUUCCAAAUCACUGUAAUUUGCCUGUCCAAAAUAUAGCCUCUUUGCAACUUCACUGCAAGCCGCCGCUGCACCAUCAACCCUAGUCCUUAUGUCUACGCUGCUAAGUCAUUUUUUUAAGGAAACUCAAUUGUAUUUUUAACAUGAUUAUCUAUCAUAAAACUUUGAUUAUAAAUACAACACUAACCCUAACUUUAACCCCAACCCAGCCCCCCAAUCGCAACGGCCUACAUGCAAUAGUCUAAAACUAACUAUAAACUACGAUCAAAAAAUUAUGCACACAUGAGAAAAGUAUGAAAUUUAGAUUUCCCAGAGAAGUUUUUCAAUAUUUAUCGAUCAGGUUUUUUGAGCAAAUGGAUUAAAUGAAUUACAAUAACGAAUGAGCAUAGCUUACUCACACUACGGUUUUAGAGCUAUUAGGGCUAACUAUUUCGGUUACCUCCAAAAAGAAAACCAAAGACUACCUAGCUGCAACGAUUGUAAAAGGAAUGUGGUGAAUAGUGUCUGUUGUAUGUCACUGGAAUGAAUAACCAACUAUAGCAAUCCUAUAUGUAAGUCAUGCCAUCGAUAUCUAAAAUUUUAUUUUCAAAUAUUCGUAAUGAGGUGUUUUUCGUGCAGAAUGAUUUUAUUGUAUUUCUCAUAAUUUGGCGUCAAACAAGUUGGAGUGAAUAAACCAAA